rnacentral:rRNA from 1 species
UACAUGUGGGGCAAGCGUUGUUCGGAAUUACUGGGCAUAAAGGGUGCGUAGGCGGCUUUUUAAGUCAGCGGUGAAAUACUUCGGCUCAACCGAGGAACUGCCGUUGAUACUGGAAGGCUUGAGUACUGAUGAAGUGGGCGGAAUUGAAGGUGUAGCGGUGAAAUGCAUAGAUAUCUUCAAGAACACCGAUUGCGAAGGCAGCUCACUAAGGAGUAACUGACGCUGAGGCACGAAAGCGUGGGUAGCAAACAGG